UACGAAGGGGGGCUAGCGUUGCUCGGAAUCACUGGGGCGUAAAGCGCACGUAGGCGGCUUCUUAAGUCGGGGGGUGAAAUCCUGGAGCUCAACUCCAGAACUGCCUUUGAUACUGAAGAGCUUGAGUCCGGAAGAGGUGAGUGGAACUCCGAGUGUAGAGGUGAAAUUCGUAGAUAUUCGGAAGAACACCAGUGGCGAAGGCGGCUCACUGGUCCGGUACUGACGCUGAGGUGCGAAAGCGUGGGGAGCAAACAGG
rnacentral:rRNA from 1 species